GUGCUGGCUUCGGCAGCACACAUACUAAAACUGGAACGAUACAGAGAUGAGCAUGGCCCCUGCGCAAGGAGGAGAUGCAAAUUUGUGAAGCGUUCCAUAUUUUU